rnacentral:rRNA from 1 species
ACUCCUACGGGAGGCAGCAGUGGGGAAUUUUACGCAAUGGGGGAAACCCUGACGUAGCGACACCGCGUGAGCGAAGAAGCCCUUUGGGGUGUAAAGCUCUGUCAGCUGGAACGAAAACAAUGACGGUACCAGCAGAGGAAGCAUCGGCUAACUACGUGCCAGCAGCCGCGGUAAGACGUAGGAUGCGAGCGUUGUCCGGAUUUAUUGGGCGUAAAGAGUUCGUAGGUGGUUUGUUAAGUUUGGUGUUAAAGAUCGGGGCUCAACCCUGGGACUGCACUGAAUACUGGCAGACUCGAGUGUGGUAGAGGCUAGUGGAAUUCCCAGUGUAGCGGUGAAAUGCGUAGAUAUUGGGAAGAACACCGGUGGCGUAGGCGACUAGCUGGGCCAUAACUGACGCUGAGGAACGAAAGCCAGGGGAGCGAAUGGUGUUAGAAACCCCAGUAGUCCC